CCCUGGUGUCUAGAGAUCCCUCAGAUCACUUAGACUGAAGCAGAAAAUCUCUAGCAGUGGCGCCCGAACAGGGACGCGAAAGUGAAAGUGGAACCAGGG
rfam:Human immunodeficiency virus type 1, complete genome.